AGUAAAGAUAAACCACUAGAGGAUUUAAAUGCUUUUUUUUUCCCCCCAGAAAGAAUUCACUAGUUUUUUAUUAGCUACGAAGGGAGUUUCCCCCUUCCCUAAGUGCUGUUGGAGUGGUAGGAGGUCCUGAGAGAGUGUUCUUUAUAAAGUCUCCAGCCUAGUUAGCUUCCUUGCUUUGGGGAAUUUUCUUCAUAUAACCCCACAACACGUUCAGAUGAUUAACUUCAAGUGGAUAUAAUUUAUUCAUUCACUUUUAUUGGUUCAUUCAUUUAGCAAAUGCCAAUUUAUGGCCAGCCAGUUCCAAAGCCCUGUGAAUGAUGCAAAGAAAAAUCGGAUGGAGAUCUUGCCUUCAAGAAUGUCAAAUCUACCCAAGAAUCAAGUUGCAGGGAAAGUGGAGACCAACUACCAGGAGGUGGAACCUUUGAAUGUUAAUUAGAUUUGAAGAAGCCAGGAUGAUGAAGCUGCCACGAUGGGAUUAAGGCUUUUAUAAGAGGAGAGGGAGACCAGUGCCCCAUCUGCAAUGUGAAGGUACAGCAAGAAGAUGGCUUUCUGAAAACAAGGAAGAGGCCUCACCAGGAACUGAACUCACUGGCACCUUGAUCUUGGAUUUCCCA